rnacentral:lncRNA from 1 species
GGUUUUGAGCAUAUUCAACUUGAAAAGUAGGUUGCUGUUGAUGAUUUCCCAGGUUUCAUUAACAUCUUCAACAAUCUACCAAGUCUUAAUUAAUGGGGAGUAGCAUGUUAAACGUUGGCCAUUUAUCUAAACACUGUCUCUGAAUUUGAACUAACAUAACUAUUUUUAGAUUCUUUUACCUAUUUGUUACCCUUCCCGAUUGUUCAAUUGAUAUUAUUCACUUAUUAAGGCAAAUAUUGGCAACUGUAAGAGUAAAAUCUUGUUAUCAUGUGUAGGCUUUAAUGCUGAUUUGAAAGUUACAGUCAUUUUUAUGGCAUCUACUCAAAUAACACUUCUUCUUGUAAUGUAAUGAUUUUUGACACUUUGACAGACAGCCCAGAAUAUUUUCACUUUAUCUAAUCUAUGUCUAACAAAAAUCUACUCAUGCCUCUGUGGGUGGACACAGCCAAAGCAUGAAAUAGUGCUGAGCAUCAGCACUGCUUCUUCUGUUAAUGAAGUUUCUGGAGAAAAACUUGACUCAAACAGCAGGGGCUGAGUU